UACAGAGGGGGCAAGCGUUAUUCGGAAUUAUUGGGCGUAAAGGGCGCGUAGGCGGCCCUUCAAGUGGUAGGUGAAAUCCCUCGGCUCAACCGAGGAGCUGCCCGCCAAACUGAAGAGCUUGAGUCCGGGAGAGGUGAGUGGAAUUCCCAGUGUAGCGGUGAAAUGCGUAGAUAUUGGGAGGAACACCAGUGGCGAAGGCGGCUCACUGGACCGGAACUGACGCUGAGGCGCGAAAGCGUGGGGAGCAAACGGGAUUAGAUACCCCGGUAGUCCACGCUGUAAACGAUGAGUGCUUGGUGUAGCGGGUAUCGACCCCUGCUGUGCCGAAGCUAACGCAUUAAGCACUCCGCCUGGGGAGUACGGUCGCAAGGCUGAA
rnacentral:rRNA from 1 species